GGUCGUAAGGAUAUAUAUAUAUAUUAUUAUUCUGUUGUGCCACAAGGGCCAUAUUUAUAUUAUACCUUGUUUCUGCUUUGCCAUAAGGCCUGAGCGUUCAUAUUAUAUUUUAUUCUGUACCUUUAUCGGCUGGGCUAGAAGGGCUAGGUAUAAUAUUAUUACAUAUGUUUUUAUACUUUACGUUAUUUCUUAUGCUAUUAUUAUUUUUGUAAAAUAUACAGCAACUCAUGCAACCUUAGUUACCAACAAUCGUGUUACCAUUAUUUUAUUAUCUACUAUUAGUCUUAAACACACACACUACAUACAUAUACAUCUGCACACCCAUCACACACUAGCACUCUUUAGUUUUGUUCGGCAACCCCGUCCACCUCUAUUGAAUCGCUAUACAGAUGUCAGAUAUACACACGUCCACAGGUCGGCCGGUGUGAGUGCGAAUUAUUUCUGGCGACCGGGCAACACGCUCUAUUUUUGUAACGUUCCCGGCGUAAUCACAUUAAGUUAAUGUAAUCCUAAAAUGUCAUAAAAAUGUUUUAUUACCAUGGUGUUUAAUAAUAGAGUUAAAAUUACAUCAUAUUUAUGUUUUUCCAUUGAAAUAUAUUCUUAAAAUAAAUAAUUAUAUAAAAUAAAACCCCUAUGACUAUAUAUAAUAUGUUAUUGUUGUGUGUUAUCGCGAUGAACCGCGGGCAUCACGUCGCUCGACGGCCGACGGAUCGCCGUCAGCCUGUUUAGUCGCCUGCAUACAAUCUUAUAGGUACAAAACUAAAUACAAAGAAAAUAUUAUCACUCAUAACGUAUAUUGAAAUUUUUGAGCUGAUCAGUGAUCAUUGUUUUUUUUUUUAUUUUAGGCAAGUACGCAACUGUUAAGUGUUUUACAAUCGUUUUAUACAUAAUACACAUUGUAAAAUGUCAACUAAAAAGGUAAAUUCAAAACGCCACGCCGCAUGUGUUGUCUUCAUCCCACAAAUAUAUAGGUACAAAUCGUACAAGUGUACAAUACUGCAAAUUGUCCGUAUUGUUAGUUGUUAGCUUUAAUAUUAAAAUAACUUAAGACUAAGACAACACAUGCGAGUGUGAUGUUUUCUCAAUGGUUUAUUUAAUAAAAUAAAUACAUGGAAAGGUUUACAUUUACGUCAUGUAGGUAGGUAUAUAAAUGUUUUUUUUAUUUUAGAAUACGAUGACAUGGGUCAUAGUUUUAUUUUAAAUAUCUAAAGACUAUAGUUUAGUACCGACUAACUGGCUGGUGCAAAAUGAGACAUUCAAUAUAACAGAUUGUAAUGUAGAACAGAGGUUCCCAAACUUUUUAUUGUACGACCCAUUUUGAGAAUUUUUUAAAAUUUGGCGACCCACAAUACAUUGAAUAACCUUUUUUUUUUUAGGUAUUUAGGUACUUACUAACACUAAUUUGUUUCAGAUAAAUCGCUUUCUUUUCAAUAGGUAUAACUAUUAAUCUGUUUGAUAUGGUGCUGUAAACUCGUAAUCGUCAAUCUCGCAGAUAACGAUUAACGAAAAACUGUAUUUGAACUUUGAACAUCAACGAAAAAUAUGUAUUAUAUCAAAUUAUAGCGCGACCCACCAAAAAUAUAAUCGCGACCCACAGUUUGGGAACCUCUGAUGUAGAAUAUUGUAUUGGCCAGCUGACCAUGUAACUAGCUUGGAAAUAUCUGAAGCUAAGAAUCCAGAACAAUUGUGGUGUACGUACGAGAUCAAAUUACUUGGAGAAAAUAAAAUAUAUGGUAAUUUCAAAAAGGCAUGGCAUAUCAGAGUGGCAAAAGAAUCUGAAAGUGAAGAAUUUCAACUAGCAGCCAAACGAAAACAGACAUUAUUUGAUUUGAUAGACAGUAGUAGUGACGAUAGUAUAGGAUUUGGUGUAAUACCAUUAACCUUUACAAGUACAAAAUAAGAAACAUAAGACAUACACAGAUUUACAGAGAGUUGAAACAAUAUUCCUUUCCAUUCACAACAAUCAAUAAUGGAAUUUUCUGCCGCUCAUCAAACAGUUUCAACGUAUCAGCCUUAUAAUAAAUUGACUACAGUACAUCAACCUCCUAUUAUUCCAGAUGUACAGUCUGAAAAUACUGGUGUACAGCAUACUAUGGAAUCUGGCAUUUUAAAUAACUACAUAGGCUUUGAGACUCUAGACAUAAAAUUGACAAGUAUAAUGCAAGAACAAAUUUCCACCAAUCUUAUGAUAAAUAUAAUUUUUGCUAAAAUACAAAUAAUGGAGGCAAAUUCGAAAAAUAAAGGUCAAAGUAAUGAUACCUCUAUUUACAUUGAUUCACAAUUUCUUUCAUAUUUUCCCUUAAAAAAUAGAAGAACUAUUUUUAUUGGAAAAUCGGAUCAAAAACGAAAUUGAGUUUGUUUCCAAAUUGGAAUCUUUUAUAAAAAAUAUUGGAGGCAAUGAUGCUAAACAUCAUGUGAAAAGAGUUAUGAACAAGAUAUUUACAGACGAGCAUUGUGUUAAAAUUUCAUGGACUGGCUGUGGCUGGGAAACAAACAUGACCAAAUUAUAAGAAACUUCUCUAAUUCAAAGUCAUUCAAGAGAGUUCUUCUACAGUAUUUACUGCUUCUCAAUUUGAAAAACCAGUUACUGAACGACUCAGGACAGCCAAUACAAGAUUCAAAAGUUAUAAGAAAAAAGAUAAUCCCACAAUACCUUAAAUAUAUAUUCAUUAUACAAUUAAAUUAGUUGAUUUACGUAUUAAAUAAGCUGUUAAGUCACAGAAUUUUUAAAUUUAAACAUACCUAUAUCAUUACUAG